GAUGAAGAACGCAGCGAAAUGCGAUAAGUAACGUGAAUUGCAGAAUUCAGUGAAUCAUCGAAUCUUUGAACGCACAUUGCGCCCAUUAGUAUUCUAGUGGGCAUGCCUGUUCGAGCGUCAUUUCAACCCUUAAGCCUAGCUUAGUGUUGGGAAUCUGCUGUAUUGCAGUUCCUCAAAUACAACGGCGGAUCUGUAACAUCCUCUGAGCGUAGUAAAUUUUUAUCUCGCUUUUGUUAGGUGUUGCAGCUCUCAGCCGCUAAACCCCCCAAUUUUUGUGGUUGACCUCGGAUCAGGUAGGAAUACCCGCUGAACUUAAGCAUAUCAAUAAGCGGAGGA
rnacentral:misc_RNA from 1 species